AAAAAGCCAUCGAAAACUAGCGGAGAAUCUCGGGAAAAAAGUAACCAGGAAAUAAUUCCAGUCAAAUCAUCUCCCGAAAAAGUGAUCCAAGUGGCGAUGCAGUCAGCUUUAGAGGCUGCGUUAAACCCACCGUAUGACACUGAGUCAGUCAAGAAAGAGGACAUGCUGAGGAGCGGUGAUUAUUGGAAUUCAGUGUGGGUUGAAGAAGUUGAUCCCAAAAAUGUGUUGAGAACAUACCAAAAUAAGCAUUCGAACCAGGAUAAGAAAUACAGAUCUUCUGUUCCGAAGCUGG